UGGGGGAUAUUGCACAAUGGAGGAAACUCUGAUGCAGCAACGCCGCGUGAGGGAAGAAGGUCUUCGGAUUGUAAACCUAAGUAGUGAGGGACGAAAGAAAUGACGGUACCUGAAGAGUAAGCUCCGGCUAACUACGUGCCAGCAGCCGCGGUAAUACGUAGGGAGCGAGCGUUGUCCGGAUUUACUGGGUGUAAAGGGUGCGUAGGCGGGCUUGCAAGUCAGACGUGAAAUACCGGGGCUUAACUCCGGGGCUGCGUUUGAAACUGCAGGUCUUGAGUGAAGUAGAGGCAGGCGGAAUUCCUAGUGUAGCGGUGAAAUGCGUAGAUAUUAGGAGGAACACCAGUGGCGAAGGCGGCCUGCUGGGCUUUAACUGACGCUGAGGCACGAAAGCAUGGGGAGCAAACAGGAUUAGAUACCC
rnacentral:rRNA from 1 species